rnacentral:rRNA from 1 species
UACGAAGGGGGGCUAGCGUUGCUCGGAAUCACUGGGCGUAAAGCGCACGUAGGCGGCUUGUUAAGUCAGGGGUGAAAUCCUGGAGCUCAACUCCAGAACUGCCUUUGAUACUGGUCAGCUUGAGUUCGGGAGAGGUGAGUGGAACUGCGAGUGUAGAGGUGAAAUUCGAUAGAUAUUCGCAAGAACACCAGUGGCGAAGGCGGCUCACUGGCCCGAUACUGACGCUGAGGUGCGAAAGCGUGGGGAGCAAACAGGGAUUAAGAAACC